rnacentral:rRNA from 1 species
AUGCUGUAUAUCAAAUCAGAGUGGGGCAGAGAAGUGGAAAUUGAAAUCAUAGAAGACGAGGAAGACCCCAACCCUGAUCCAUAUGAUCUUGUCUACAGCAACAUACCAACAAGCACAAACGUGCUCGAAAAAGAAGAAGAUUGUUGUUUCUGCCAUGCAACCAAAUUCAAGUAUGAAAGUCAGGGAUUAUGCUGCAAAAAAGGACAGAUAAGACUAGCCAAUCCAAAUACACCACCGGAACUAAUGAGGCUUUGGACAAGCAACGAGUCUGAUGCAAGACAUUUUCGGCAAAAUAUAAGAUUUUUCAAUGGGCAUUUCUCGUUUACUACACUAUACUGCCAGCUCGACAGAGACACAACAGACAUGCGAACGGCCGGUAUUUACACCUUUCGAGCACAUGGUCAAAUAUAUCACAACAUACACUCAUUUGGUAAUAGUCACUCAGAUCCAAAGCAUCUGGAACUAUACUUCUACGACGAUGAUCCAAGCUUAGAGCAUCGAUACCGUCGUUGCCGUGAGGAAAUGUACGAGCAAGACAAGCAUGUGAUUGCAAUAAUAACAGAUAUCCUACGCGGUAACCCGUACUCUCAACAGUUUAGGAGUUUGGGACAAGCCCAAAACCUUGAGGACUACAGACUGAUCUUGAACCUUGACCAGAGAUUGGACCAAAGAACAUACAACGAGCCAAUCAAUUCGGAGGUAGCUGCAGUGUGGAUUGAGGAAAUGAAAGAAAAGAUACUUAUGACAGAAAUGUAA